UCUCAGAAGAGAUGCUCUCUGCUCCCCUGCCAGUGGAAUUGUCUCCCUUUGGAGUAGUUGAGAGGUGACAGAGGCUGCUGUGAGUGUCUAGACCAAAGUCUCCCUGUGAAGCCACGUGACAACUCCACUGCUCCCCAGAGCUGCACACGGUCUCUCAGAAGCCUUGGAGGGGUUGGGGGAGGCCCCUGCUCUCAAGCCCCCACUAUCACAAUCACUUUGUCCAAGCUAUUCCCCUGCGACCUUGCCUGACCUGCAGAAGCUGCCGAGUGGCCCACUCUUCCUGGGCAUGUCAGAAAAACUUUGACGUGGCUGCUCUGGCUUCAGGCAAGGUCUAAUUUGGUGAAAAUUUGAAAGCAGGUUUGUGGGGGUGCCAGGGAGAAAUGGGGAGAGAGAAAGCCGCUGCAUUUGAUGGAUGGCAAUGGCUUGGAGCUGGUGUGAUGGCCUCUCUGGAUGACAAGGACAUUGGAGUUAGAGCCAGAAGGACUGAGGUAUGAAUCUCGGCAUUCCUGGUUUGUAGUUAUGGGGACUUGGCACAGACACUUGAAUGAAACUUCCUUUGCCCAGCUAUAAGACGGACCCCCUAAAAAAGGUUGACUUUGUUCUGAUCCUUCACUGCCUGCUGGGAUGUUCUCAGCAUUUUGUGCAUGUUGGCCAAUUUAACCCUAACAGCAACCACCAGAGGCAGAUGCUAUUGCUGGCUAUUAAUAUCCCCACGUGACAGAUGAGAAUGUGAGGCCCAAGGGGUUUAAGUAGUGUGCCCAAGGCACAGAGCCGGGGGUGCCCCAGCAGGCCACUUGUGCACCUGUGGCUUUUGCCUUGGCCACUUUGCAGCACUGGCACAAGAGAGGCCCACGGGUUGAGCCUCCACACCACCAGCCACCCUUUGUCCCUCAGAAAGGGCUGGCAGAGCCUGCAGGUGAGGGUGAAUGUGGGGACGGGUGGGCAAUGGUCUGCCCUUCAUUUCUGUCAUGUUGUGGCUGCCACUGGGGAGAAAAUGCCAAAAAGCUUCCUGGAAGAAGCAGCUUCCAGGAGGCUUCACCAUAUCCUUGUCCUGCCAACUGGCCACGAACGGAUUGAAAGAUUCCCACUGAGUGAGAAGGCUCAGAAGCCACCACAGGGGAUGGCGGAGGUGGGAGAGGCAUGCACCUCGCACCGCAGGGCUCCAGGAGCCAGGCGAAGGACAGGCAUUGGGUGGGUCCUCCCAAGGUGCCCCCUUCUUUGUCUCCCUCUGUUGCUUUUCUCUCCUCUUCCCUCUUCUUCCCCCCACUUCCUCUUCACUUUUUCUUCUUCCUCUCUUUCCUUCCCCCAUGCCUUUCUCAACCUUGUUUCCACUUCUUGUCGCUCUUCUUCAGCAAAUGUCGAGGCAGUCAGUUCCUGGGCUGAGGCUGGGGGAUGGGAGGAAGUCCUGAGGGUAGCCCCCGCCCCCUCCCCUGCCCCGUCACUCCCUCUGCCCCGCCUGCACAGCUUCUCGCCACUUCAUUCCCGCCCCCACCGCCCCUACAGCCCGUAUAAGCCACCAGGUCGCUCCAGUUUGGUGCCAGCGCCUGGAGGGAGAGGCGUGGCGAGGGCUGUGCAGCCUAGGAUCCACUGAGUGGCUCUCGCUGGUGUCUCAACUGCGCACGAACCAGAGCUGGGAGGCUCGGCUGGAGGUGUGACCAGGGCAGGGACCGACCUGGCCCAGAACAGAAGCGCGCAGAGUCCCAUCCUGCCACGCCACGAGAAGAGAAGAAGGAAAGAUACAGUGUUAGCAAAGAGACCUCCCUAGCCCCUGCGCCCCUGCGCCCCCGCGCCCCCGCGCCCCCGCGUCCCCGCGCCUCGCUUCAGCCUCAGGACGGUCCUGCCGGGACGGUGAGCUCAUUCAGCACCCUGGACAGCACCGCGGUUGCGCUGCCUCCAGGGCGGCCCCGGGCUGCUCUUGCUCCGCAGAGCGACGCCCUCACCCCCACCCCCCCCACCUCCACCAUGUGCCCUGGACCCUGCACUUGCCGCCUCUUUCUUCGCGCUGCUCUGGGCCUUGCCGGCCGGCUCUGCACCUCCCGGAAGCCGUGGGCGCGCCGCUCAGCCACUCCAUCGCCGCACUUUCCCAGGCUCGCGCCCGAAGCAGAGCCAUGAGAACCCUAGGGUGCCUGGAGAGCUGCUAGCGCCAUGGACCCCGGCGAGGCGCUGCUGGCGGGUCUGCUGGUGAUGGUACUGGCCGUGGCGCUGCUAUCCAACGCACUGGUGCUGCUUUGUUGCGCCUACAGCGCUGAGCUCCGCACUCGCGCCUCGGGCGUCCUCCUGGUGAAUCUGUCGCUGGGCCACCUGCUGCUGGCGGCGCUGGACAUGCCCUUCACGCUGCUCGGUGUGAUGCGCGGGCGGACACCGUCGGCGCCCGGCGCAUGCCAAGCCAUUGGCUUCCUGGACACCUUCCUGGCGUCCAACGCGGCGCUGAGCGUGGCGGCGCUGAGCGCAGACCAGUGGCUGGCCGUGGGCUUCCCACUGCGCUACGCCGGACGCCUGCGACCGCGCUAUGCUGGCCUGCUGCUGGGCUGUGCCUGGGGACAGUCGCUGGCCUUCUCAGGCGCUGCACUUGGCUGCUCGUGGCUUGGCUACAGCAGCGCCUUCGCGUCCUGCACGCUGCGCCUGCCGCCUGAGCCUGAGCGUCAGCGCUUCGCAGCCUUCACCGCCACGCUCCAUGCCGUGGGCUUCGUGCUGCCGCUGGCGGUGCUCUGCCUCACCUCGCUCCAGGUGCACCGGGUGGCACGCAGCCACUGCCAGCGCAUGGACACCGUCACCAUGAAGGCGCUCGUGCUGCUCGCCGACCUGCACCCCAGUGUGCGGCAGCGCUGCCUCAUCCAGCAGAAGCGGCGCCGCCACCGCGCUACCAGGAAGAUUGGCAUCGCUAUUGCGACCUUCCUCAUCUGCUUUGCCCCGUAUGUCGUGACCAGGCUGGCGGAGCUCGUGCCCUUCGUCACCGUGAACGCCCACUGGGGCAUCCUCAGCAAGUGCCUGACCUACAGCAAGGCGGCGGCUGACCCGUUCACAUACUUUCUGCUCCGCCGGCCGUUCCGCCAAGUCCUGGCCGGCAUGGUGCACCGGCUGCUGAAGAGAACCCCGCGCCCAGCGUCCACCCAUAACAGCUCUCUGGAUGUGGCCGGCAUGGUGCAUCAGCUGCUGAAGAGAACCCCGCACCCAGCGUCCACCCACAACAGCUCUCUGGACACAGAGAAUGAUUCCUGCCUGCAGCAGACACACUGAGGGCCUGGCAGGGCUCAUCACCCCCACCUUCUAAGAAGCCCUGUGGAAAGGGCACUGGCCCUGCCACAGAGAUGCCACUGGGGAUCCCCAGACACUGGCGGCUUGACUUUGAGCUGAGGCUGAAGUACAGGAGGAGGAGGAGGAGGAGGAGGAGGAGAGAGCCGGAUGUGGGUGUGAACAGAAGGAGCGGCAGAGGAGAGCUCCGGGCUCGGCCACCUGGCCACUGGGUAGCCCCAGGACAGUGGCUUUUCCUCUCUGAGCCUCAGCUUCCUCACCCCUGUUCUGGAGUCAUGGCGAUGCUUCGAGACAGUGGGCGUGGAACUUGUAUCAUGACACCCUACUCCCAAGGCCAGCAAUGCAGGGAGAGUGUGGACAUCAAAUUCUUUCCUUCCAGAGGCUGAAUUCUUCAAAGACACAUGCGGCUGUCACUUGCUCUUGGCAUUAACAGUGGAGAACCCAGCUGAAGUGGCUUCACAGAUUCUUCCCCAAAAACACAGGUGUUAUUAUUAUGCUUUUAAAAAACUUUUUGAGGCAGGGUCUAACUCUGCUGCCCAGGCUAGAGUGCAGUGGUGCAGUCUCAGCUCACUGCAGCCUCUGCCUCCCAUGCUCAAGGCAUCCUCCCACCUCAGCCUCCUGAGUAGCUGAGGACACAGGCACGGGACACCAUGCCUGGCUAAUUUUUGUAUUUUUUUGUAGAGAUGGAGGCCUCACUUUGUGGCCCAGGCUGGUCUUGAAUUUCUGAUCUUAAGUGGUCCGCCCACCUCAGCCUCCCAAAGUGCUGGGAUUACAGGUGUGAGCCACCGCACCCAGCCAAAACCAGGUGUUAUUUGCUGACUCGCCAAUGCCUCCCCCAAAAGGAUAAAUUUAAAAGUGUGUGUAAUUCAAUUUAAAAGUGUGUGAAUUACACGAAGUGUAAUUCAAAUAAAACAAAUUAUCUUUUGGAAUAAUAGCAACUAUAGGUAUGUGGUCAGGAAGCAGUUAAAAACAUUAAAAUACAGACCUGGCCAGUUCAAUCAAGCCCAGGAGUUCCAGGCAGGAGGUGGCACAGGUGGGCGUCAUGCCCUGGUUCACAGAGGGCACAUGAACUCGAGACCCUGCUGCACCCCGGUGCCCCUGUGCCCCUGUGCUUACAAGGGAUGGCACUUGCACAGCAGAAGCAGGUUGGUCCCCAUUUAAAGCUCCAGAGCCCAGGCUGUGAGCUCCUUGGCUGAGCCCUCUCCUGUCCCUGGGAGGUCCCCAGGUGCGAGGAGCCUGCCAGCCAGUGGGGCCUACACUCUCUGUUAUUGCGUCUCUGCCAGGCUAAAAUCCUUGGUCACUACUUUAGAGCCACUCAAGGAAACGCGUGCACCCUGCCCUGCUGGAAGGCACCAUGGUUAGAGGGAGGCACACUGUUUCUUAGAGACAGGCACUGCUUGCUGUCAUGUUUCACCUCGGAAAGCUUCCUCGGAAGCUCCAUGGAAUGUUCUGGAGCAGGCAUCUUAGGGCAUUCCCUCCGCACUUCUCUGCCAGCCCAUGUGGCUCCCACACUGGGCUGUCCCUUGCCUUAGGCUUGUGGCCUUUUUUUUUUUUUUAAUUUGAAAAAUAUUUUUCAUGUGCACUUAGACGUGUUGCAGAAUG